rnacentral:rRNA from 1 species
GAUGAACGCUGGCGGCGUGCCUAAUACAUGCAAGUCGAGCGAACAGACGAGGAGCUUGCUCCUCUGACGUUAGCGGCGGACGGGUGAGUAACACGUGGAUAACCUACCUAUAAGACUGGGAUAACUUCGGGAAACCGGAGCUAAUACCGGAUAACAUGUUGAACCGCAUGGUUCAACAGUGAAAGACGGUCUUGCUGUCACUUAUAGAUGGAUCCGCGCCGCAUUAGCUAGUUGGUAAGGUAACGGCUUACCAAGGCAACGAUGCGUAGCCGAACUGAGAGGGUGAUCGGCCACACUGGAACUGAGACACGGUCCAGACUCCUACGGGAGGCAGCAGUAGGGAAUCUUCCGCAAAGGGCGAAAGCCUGACGGAGCAACGCCGCGUGAGUGAUGAAGGUCUUCGGAUCGUAAAACUCUGUUAUUAGGGAAGAACAAAUGUGUAAGUAACUAUGCACGUCUUGACGGUACCUAAUCAGAAAGCCACGGCUAACUACGUG